GAUGAAGAACGUAGUGAAAUGCGAUACGUAGUGUGAAUUGCAGAAUUCAGUGAAUCAUCGAAUCUUUGAACGCACAUUGCACCUCUCGGUAUUCCGGCAGGUAUGCCUGUUCGAGCGUCAUUUGUACCCUCAAGCUCUGCUUGGUGUUGGGUGUUUGUUCCGCCUCUGUGUGUGAACUCGCCUCAAAACAAUUGGCAGCCGGCGUACUUGUUUCGGAGCGCAGCACAUUUUGCGAUCCAGAUCAACGUACAGCGGCAUCCAAGAAGCCUUAUUUAACGCUCUUGACCUCGGAUCAGGUAGGGAUACCCGCUGAACUUAAGCAUAUCAAUAAGCGGAGGA
rnacentral:misc_RNA from 1 species